rnacentral:rRNA from 1 species
CACGUAGGGUGCGAGCGUUGUCCGGAAUUAUUGGGCGUAAAGAGCUCGUAGGCGGUGUGUCGCGUCGGCCGUGAAAACCUGCAGCUUAACUGUGGGCUUGCGGUCGAUACGGGCAUCACUGGAGUUCGGCAGGGGAGACUGGAAUUCCGUGGUGAUAGCGGUGAAAUGCGCAGAUAUCGAGGAGGAACACCGGUGGCGAAGGCGGGUCUCUGGGCCGA